GUGGAAUACUUACCUUUGUCCAUUGCUACGAAUCACUAAAUGCCAUUGGAGUUCUGUGUCGCGGGUUGGCGCUCACCUCGGAGUGUGCAGAAGGGGAGGCGCCGCCCGAGCACCCUGUACGAAGAGAUCGGAGGAACAAGUCGUUUAUCAGCCAGUCGUAUGGACCCAAGUAACAGGUAGCCACUCUCACCGGAUCGAUUACUCAUUGUGUGUUUCACUCUGCCUUCAGGAGAAAAGAAGGGCGCCACGAGUCAACAAAAGCCCAAAGGGACAUACUAACCCUCGCCGCAUAGUCCUCUCCGGCCCCUUUCUCCUCCUGCUGAACAGAGACGAUAAUUUUAAGAUUUACCUCCCCCUCCCUGAAUUAUUUUAAUUAAUUUAAAUAAAGUUGUUUUAAUAUUA